GCUGUUUGCAGGGGGAAAGUCCAGCCGCCCCGGGUUGGAUUUGCUGGUUGUACCUGCUUUUAGAAACGCGUUAUAGAUCGGGUGGCGAGCGUUGCGUUACUAUCGUGCAUCAAGCAGCCUGGCUGAAUCUUCGAGCCAAGACAGGUCUGUGUGCAGCUGUAUGACUCCGACACCCACGGGCUGUGAAGCAGGAUCUUCUCGACAGAUCCAGACUCCAGGAACUUUUAAGAAUUCUCCUAGAGCAUGAAGGGAUUUCAAGAGAUUUAAAUGAAUUUUUUCUGGCCAAAAGAUCAGAUAGUCAGGAAUUCUCAUUAUCUUGCUGCUUCCACCCGACUUUCCACCCCUCUGCUCUUUUGCUUCCUUUGUGAAAAUCUGCUCGCUUAUUUUACAAACCUUAGCAAGAUCCAAGGCCUUGAAGAUCUGACUCUUCAAGGUUGGAGAUCCUAGA